CUUGCCUGUAUCCUGGAAUUGGGUUCGGGCUUUUCUUGCGCAGUCUAGGUGGGAGGCUAUGAAGAUUUCCUUCCGGGGAAGUUGGAGCCAUCAGUGAGAGACCACUCUGGAGAGGCUAGAAUCCUAAUGGUGAUCCUUGAAUCAGGACACUUGACAGUUUCAGGUGGGCAGUUUUUCUGGGGCGGAAGCCUCAUAAAGGGUAACUGAGGCGCGCAAAGGUCCCCUCAGUCUGGACGGAAAUCAGACAACGAGUGUAAAGGCAAAAGGGGGCUUGACUGCAAGACCUACAAGUCGAGCAGGAGCGAAAGCUGGCCUGAGGGAUCCGACGGUACCGCGUGGAAGGGCCGUCGCUCAACGAAUAAAAGUUA
rnacentral:rRNA from 1 species